rnacentral:miRNA from 1 species
GCAGCUGUCCGUGCCGAUCCGC